UACGUAGGGUGCGAGCGUUGUCCGGAAUUACUGGGCGUAAAGAGCUCGUAGGUGGUUUGUCGCGUUGUUCGUGAAAACUCACAGCUUAACUGUGGGCGUGCGGGCGAUACGGGCAGACUGGAGUACUGCAGGGGAGACUGGAAUUCCUGGUGUAGCGGUGGAAUGCGCAGAUAUCAGGAAGAACACCAACGGCGAAGGCAGCUCGCUGGGACGGAACUGACGCUGAGGCGCGAAAGCGUGGGGAGCGAACAGG
rnacentral:rRNA from 1 species